rnacentral:misc_RNA from 1 species
UCCGGCUUAACGCCGGCAGUCUCGCUAGAGUUCCCAGCAUUACCUGAUGGCAACUAACGACAGGGGUUUCGCUCGUUAAGGGACUUAACCCGACACUUCACAGCACGAGCUGACGACAGCCAUGCAACACCUGUGCAAGUUUCACCCCGAAGGGUAGCCCGACCGAGUUAUCCCCGGAGGGCAUCCAAGCAUGUCAAACCUGGGUAAGGUUCUUCGCGUUGCUUCGAAUUAAGCCACAUGCUCCACCGCUUGUGUGAGCCCCCGUCAAUUCCUUUGAGUUUUAGCCUUGCGGCCGUACUCCCCAGGCGGCACACUUAGCACUUUUGCUUCGACCCAGAAGGCAUCAGAGCCACCUGAAUCUAGUGUGCAUCGUUUACGGCGUGGACUAC